AUACUUACCUGCUACGAGCUUACCGUGAUCAACAAGGCGGUGGCUAUCUCGGGUUCUCGACAUUGCACAACAGUUCGAAGGCCCGGGGUCACCUGGCUCUUCGGAGUCAGCGUGAGUGGACAUUUUUUGGUGGUGGGAGGGAUUGCGUUCGCGCGGUCCGCUCCUG
rfam:Spizellomyces punctatus DAOM BR117 chromosome Tnknown supercont1.2, whole genome shotgun sequence.